rnacentral:rRNA from 1 species
GACGAACGCUGGCGGCGUGCUUAACACAUGCAAGUCGAACGGAAAGGCCCUGCUUUUGUGGGGUGCUCGAGUGGCGAACGGGUGAGUAACACGUGAGUAACCUGCCCUUGACUUUGGGAUAACUUCAGGAAACUGGGGCUAAUACCGGAUAGGAGCUCCUGCUGCAUGGUGGGGGUUGGAAAGUUUCGGCGGUUGGGGAUGGACUCGCGGCUUAUCAGCUUGUUGGUGGGGUAGUGGCUUACCAAGGCUUUGACGGGUAGCCGGCCUGAGAGGGUGACCGGCCACAUUGGGACUGAGAUAAGGCCCAGACUCCUACGGGAGGCAGCAGGGGGGAAUUUUGCACAAUGGGCGGAAGCCUGAUGCAGCAACGCCGCGUGCGGGAUGACGGCCUUCGGGGUGUAAACCGCUUUCGCCUGUGACGAAGCGUGAGUGACGGUAAUGGGUAAAGAAGCACCGGCUAACUACGUG